rnacentral:rRNA from 1 species
UACGAAGGGGGGCUAGCGUUGCUCGGAAUCACUGGGCGUAAAGGGUGCGUAGGCGGGUCUUUUAAGUCAGGGGUGAAAUCCUGGAGCUCAACUCCAGAACUGCCUUUGAUACUGAGGAUCUUGAGUUCGGGAGAGGUGAGUGGAACUGCGAGUGUAGAGGUGAAAUUCGUAGAUAUUCGCAAGAACACCAGUGGCGAAGGCGCUCACUGGCCCGAUACUGACGCUGACAGCGCGAAAGCCAGGGGAGCAAACGGG